CCUUAGAAGAAGAAGAAGAAGGAGGAGGAGGAGGAGGAGGAGGAGGAAGAAGAAGACGAUGAAGAGCAGGAUGUUAAGCCUCCUGACGGAGAGGCUGCUGAUGAUGAUGAUGAGUUUGACUCGGGCGAUGAGGAGGUGCUGACCAAAUCCGACACCUUGAGGCUCAAAGAGCGGCGGGGGAAGAGGAGGAACACGGGAGACGAGGCUCCGGAGU